AUACAAUCCUUGUUAGUACUACUGUACAAGUCCAAAGGUGGGUGUGACCACAAUCCAAUGAAGUCUGCAAAACAAGGCAGAAAUCCACUGAAGACUGGAGAGAGGCACAAAACUAAGGGAAGCGGCCUAUAGUUUACCUCAUCAAAACCAGGGUUCCUAAAAGCUUAGAUAAAACCAUCUAUACCAGACCAGCGGCCACGUACGUACAGUUCUAACCCACCAAAAGUAAAAAACAGAAGCACGGUGCCCAAGAUAUCAUCCACUUCUCUCUAUAUAUACCAGACCUCCAAAGCUCUUUUCUACUCAUUCAUCUCUUUCAGUUCAACAUAUACUCGGAUCAUUAGUUUUCAGUUUUCCUGAGAAGUACUACCUGCUAAAGAAGAAGAAGAAGAUACUAAUCACAUAUGGAGUCGAUUCAGUCUUGGGUUUCAAAGAACAAGCUGGCCAGCAUUGGAGGACUAUGGGCAACAGGAGUUGGCGCAUCCCUUGCUUAUUCAACUGCAAGGACUCCUCUCAAGACCAGCCUCAAGCUUAUACAUGCUAGGAUGCACGCACAAGCCUUGACACUAGGUGUCCUAUCCGCCGCGGCGGUCUUCCAUUACUAUGAUCAGCAGCGUGCUGGUGAAGAAGCACACGGUGCUGCUGCUUCUGCAAAUUAACUAUAUGUAGUUAGCUAGUCGAUCACCACGAAGCUAGCUAGCUAUGGCUGCCUGAACUACUAAAGCUCCACAAAUGCAUCAUCUCUAUCAAGUUCAUCUAUCCAAGGAGUUCAUUUCAACGUUUAUUAGUUAAUUUUGUAGGUCCCUAAUGUAUGUUCUGUUUUAAUUUCUUAAUUUCCCUAUGUCCCUUCACCAGUUGUAUAAUAUGCAAAUAUAUGAAUAUUUAAGUACACCAC